AGAGUUUGAUCCUGGCUCAGGAUGAACGCUAGCGGCAGGCUUAAUACAUGCAAGUCGAGGGGCAGCAUGAGUGUAGCAAUACAUUUGAUGGCGACCGGCAAACGGGUGCGGAACACGUACACAACCUUCCUAUAAGUGGGGAAUAGCCCAGAGAAAUUUGGAUUAAUACCCCGUAACAUAAUGAUGUGGCAUCACAUUAUUAUUAUAGCUACGGCGCUUAUUGAUGGGUGUGCGGCUGAUUAGAUAGUUGGCGGGGUAACGGCCCACCAAGUCUACGAUCAGUAGCUGAUGUGAGAGCAUGAUCAGCCACACGGGCACUGAGACACGGGCCCGACUCCUACGGGAGGCAGCAGUAAGGAAUAUUGGUCAAUGGACGCAAGUCUGAACCAGCCAUGCCGCGUGAAGGAUUAAGGUCCUCUGGAUUGUAAACUUCUUUUAUCUGGGACGAAAAAAGGCUUUUCUAAGUCACUUGACGGUACCAGAUGAAUAAGCACCGGCUAACUCCGUGCCAGCAGCCGCGGUAAUACGGAGGGUGCAAGCGUUAUCCGGAUUCACUGGGUUUAAAGGGUGCGUAGGCGGGCAGGUAAGUCAGUGGUGAAAUCCUGGAGCUUAACUCCAGAACUGCCAUUGAUACUAUCUGUCUUGAAUAUUGUGGAGGUAAGCGGAAUAUGUCAUGUAGCGGUGAAAUGCUUAGAUAUGACAUAGAACACCUAUUGCGAAGGCAGCUUACUACGCAUAUAUUGACGCUGAGGCACGAAAGCGUGGGGAUCAAACAGGAUUAGAUACCCUGGUAGUCC
rnacentral:rRNA from 1 species